CAGAGGGUGCAAGCGUUGCUCGGAAUUAUUGGGCGUAAAGGGUAGGUAGGUGGUCUCAUUUGUCUAGGGUGAAAGCCUUGAGCUUAACUCAAGAAGUGCCCUAGAAACGGUGAGACUCGAGUCUUGGAGAGGGUCGUGGAAUUCCCGGUGUAGCGGUGAAAUGCGUAGAGAUCGGGAGGAACACCAGAGGCGAAGGCGGCGACCUGGACAAGUACUGACACUCAACUACGAAAGCGUGGGGAGCAAACAGGAUUAGAUACCCUGGUAGUCCACGCUGUAAACGAUGGGUACUAGAUUUGGUGGGUCUUGACCCCCGCCGAAUCGGCGCUAACGCACUAAGUACCCCGCCUGGGAAGUACGGUCGCAAGACUA
rnacentral:rRNA from 1 species